UACGACGGAUGCGUAGGGGUGUUAAUACCUUCCCUUCGCAUAACCGACUCCCGAUCCUUGAAAUCUCUGGUCGUGAGACCAUUUCCUUUCCAGGUUUACUUCGAGCGUUUCCUUUCCCGCCUUUGGGAUAAAUAACGCACGGUGGCGGCUCUGUGUCUUUUCCCGCCGGUUUUUCGCGUAAUGCGACAAUUUGUAAACAACUUUGAGGUGGCUAAAGAUGCUUGGAACAUUCUCAAAACCACUCAUGAAGGCACCUCUA
rnacentral:lncRNA from 1 species